rnacentral:pre_miRNA from 1 species
ACAUCAAGGCUAAAGGAAGAAGAGAGAGAGUACAGCCUUAGCUCAGAUCACAUAUAUAUGGCUAUCUUCUGCGAGUCUGAUCGAUACUCUGAAGGCUGUACCCUCUCUCUUCUUCUCUUAGCUUCUUGAUGC